AUGCAAGUCGAGCGGGCUUAUUCGGGCAACUGGAUAAGUUAGCGGCGAACUGGUGAGUAACACGUAGGUAAUCUGCCGUAGAGUGGGGGAUAACCCAUGGAAACAUGGACUAAUACCGCAUAUACUCUUGACACAUAAGUGUAGUAGAGGAAAGGAGCAAUCCGCUUUACGAUGAGCCUGCGGCCUAUUAGCCUGUUGGUGAGAUAAAAGCCCACCAAAGCUACGAUAGGUAGCCGACCUGAGAGGGUGACCGGCCACAUUGGGACUGAGAUACGGCCCAGACUCCUACGGGAGGCAGCAGCUGAGAAUCUUCCACAAUGGACGAAAGUCUGAUGGAGCGACAUCGCGUGAGGGAUGAAUGCCUUCGGGUUGUAAACCUCGGAAAUUAUCGAAGAAUGAGUGACAGUAGAUAAUGUAAGCCUCGGCUAACUACGUGCCAGCAGCCGCGGUAAUACGUAGGAGGCAAACGUUGCUCGGAUUUACUGGGCGUAAAGGGUGAGUAGGCGGAACUAUAAGUCUAAGGUGAAAGACCGAAGCCCAACUUCGGGAACGCCUCGGAUACUGUGGUUCUUGGAUAUUGUAGGGGAUGAUGGAAUUCUCGGUGUAGCGGUGGAAUGUGCAGAUAUCGAGAGGAACACCUAUAGCGAAGGCAGUCAUCUGGGCAUUUAUCGACGCUGAAUCACGAAAGCUGGGGGAGCAAACAGGCUUAGAUACCCUGGUAGUCCCAGCCGUAAACGUUGCACACUAGGUGCUCCUAUUAGAAUAGGCGUGCCGUAGCUAACGUAUUAAGUGUGCCGCCUGAGGAGUAUGCCCGCAAGGGUGAAACUCAAAGAAAUUGACGGGUCCCCGCACAAGUGGUGGAGCAUGUGGUUUAAUUCGAUGAUACGCGAAAAACCUUACCUGGGUUUGAAUUGU
rnacentral:rRNA from 1 species